UGCAGCUGGCUGAAGAUGAUAAGAAAAUGUUCUGUAAUAACAUGUAAACACUCUCCAGUUCAGUUCAGAAGAGACGCCUUAGGUGUGUGUUCGACUGCGAGAGCUUCAGCGCUGGACUGAAUAUGGAUCCUCUUCUGCUCAGCGAAGAUAUGAUGCUAAAACAGAAUGAAGAGAAAUGCAUGUCAGAUGAGUUGAUGGUCUAAUUAAACAUCAAAAAUGACAAAGAAAGAGGACGAGAGACAAUCUGAUGAACCCGGAGAGAAACAGACACCGAGACGAGUCAGACACAACAGCAUUAACAGUGGAAAACCAAACUUUUACCAUGAUUCAGACAGACCACCAGAGACGCUCACAGAUGAGAAAGCUGAGCUUCCUUUCAUCUGAACCAGCAGAAAACUCUCCAUCAUGUCCAGCCACUAAAUUAAGUAAUAAACCAUUCAGACACAUCUGGGGAUACAAUCAAGAGAACCAAUGAAACAGAAGAACUACAAACUUUCACAGGAAACAGGAAACUCAACAGAAGUCUAAACAGAUGUAGAAACAAGUACCAUAACAGUAAUAUCAAAGUAUGAGUGUUGAUUGAGUUCAUCACUAAAGCUUUGAUUGCAGCUGGUGCACAUCUGGGAGCUGUUUCAUGCAAAGUGUGUUUUUAGGCUUUAUGCAAAACAGGUGGGUUAUAUGCACAGCAAUGAGUAGUGAACACAUAUAUUCAAAUUUCUUUCAGGAAACAAUCUUUAAGAGAGAAUGUAAAAAGUAAUUUGUUUAGUUUAAUUAAUUAAAUUGUGCAAACUUCUUGUGUGUCAUUUAAAUCUCUGCUAAUGUAUUAAAAGUAUUCCUUACUUAUUUUGAGUUCAAUUUACUUAAGCCAUUUAUGUUAUCUUAAUUUAAUUUAAUCUGUGGUCUGUGGAAUAUACUGUCUCCCAGAGUGCAUUGCGUCAUGAAUAAAUUAUGCAAUUGCUUUGUUUUACA